rnacentral:rRNA from 1 species
AUUGAACGCUGGCGGCAUGCCUUACACAUGCAAGUCGAACGGCAGCACGGGUGCUUGCACCUGGUGGCGAGUGGCGAACGGGUGAGUAAUAUAUCGGAACGUACCUCAUUGAGGGGGAUAACGCAGCGAAAGCUGUGCUAAUACCGCAUAAUCCCUAAGGGGGAAAGCGGGGGACCGUAAGGCCUCGCGCAAUUAGAGCGGCCGAUACCUGAUUAGCUAGUUGGUGAGGUAAAGGCUCACCAAGGCAACGAUCAGUAGCUGGUCUGAGAGGACGAUCAGCCACACUGGGACUGAGACACGGCCCAGACUCCUACGGGAGGCGGCAGUGGGGAAUUUUGGACAAUGGGGGCAACCCUGAUCCAGCAAUGCCGCGUGAGUGAAGAAGGCCUUCGGGUUGUAAAGCUCUUUUGUCAGGGAAGAAACAGCAGCUCUAACACAGUUUGCGAAUGACGGUACCUGAAGAAUAAGCACCGGCUAACUACGUGCCAGCCGCCGCCGUAA